AGAGUUUGAUCCUGGCUCAGGAUGAACGCUGGCGGCGUGCCUAACACAUGCAAGUCGAACGGAGUUAUUCGAGAAAGUUUUCGGAUGGAAUCGAAUAACUUAGUGGCGGACGGGUGAGUAACGCGUGGGAAACCUACCCUGUACUGGGGGAUAACACUUAGAAAUAGGUGCUAAAACCGCAUAAGCGCACGGGACCGCAUGGUCUUGUGUGAAAAACUCCGCGG
rnacentral:rRNA from 1 species